rnacentral:rRNA from 1 species
CGUGGGUAACCUGCCCAAGAGAUCGGGAUAACACCUGGAAACAGAUGCUAAUACCGGAUAACAACAGAUGAUGCCUAUCAACUGUUUAAAAGAUGGUUCUGCUAUCACUCUUGGAUGGACCUGCGGUGCAUUAGCUAGUUGGUAAGGUAACGGCCUACCAAGGCGAUGAUGCAUAGCCGAGUUGAGAGACUGAUCGGCCACAUUGGGACUGAGACACGGCCCAAACUCCUACGGGAGGCAGCAGUC